rnacentral:rRNA from 1 species
AGAUUUCUUCGGGAUGAAGUUGCUUAUGACUGAGUGGCGGACGGGUGAGUAACGCGUGGGUAACCUGCCUUGUACAGGGGGAUAACAGUUGGAAACGGCUGCUAAUACCGCAUAAGCGCACGGUGUCGCAUGACACAGUGUGAAAAACUCCGGUGGUAUAAGAUGGACCCGCGUCUGAUUAGCCAGUUGGCAGGGUAACGGCCUACCAAAGCGACGAUCAGUAGCCGGCCUGAGAGGGUGAACGGCCACAUUGGGACUGAGACACGGCCCAAACUCC